UACGUAGGGGGCAAGCGUUAUCCGGAUUUACUGGGUGUAAAGGGAGCGUAGACGGCGAUGCAAGUCUGAAGUGAAAGGCGGGGGCCCAACCCCCGGACUGCUUUGGAAACUGCCAUGCUGGAGUGCCGGAGAGGUAAGCGGAAUUCCUAGUGUAGCGGUGAAAUGCGUAGAUAUUAGGAGGAACACCAGUGGCGGAGGCGGCUUACUGGACGGUAAAUGACGCUGAGGCUCGAAAGCGUGGGGAGCAAACAGG
rnacentral:rRNA from 1 species